GUGACUGAGUGGCGGACGGGUGAGUAACGCGUGGGUAACCUGCCUCAUACAGGGGGAUAACAGUUAGAAAUGGCUGCUAAUACCGCAUAAGCGCACGGUACUGCAUGGUACAGUGCGAAAAACUCCGGUGGUAUGAGAUGGACCCGCGUUGGAUUAGCUAGUUGGCAGGGUAACGGCCUACCAAGGCGACGAUCCAUAGCCGGCCUGAGAGGGUGGACGGCCACAUUGGGACUGAGACACGGCCCAGACUCCUACGGGAGGCAGCAGUGGGGAAUAUUGCACAAUGGGGGAAACCCUGAUGCAGCGACGCCGCGUGAGCGAAGAAGUAUUUCGGUAUGUAAAGCUCUAUCAGCAGGGAAGAAAAUGACGGUACCUGACUAAGAAGCCCCGGCUAACUACGUGCCAGCAGCCGCGGUAAUACGUAGGGGGCAAGCGUUAUCCGGAUUUACUGGGUGUAAAGGGAGCGUAGACGGAAUGGCAAGUCUGAUGUGAAAGGCCGGGGCUCAACCCCGGGACUGCAUUGGAAACUGUCAAUCUAGAGUACCGGAGGGGUAAGUGGAAUUCCUAGUGUAGCGGUGAAAUGCGUAGAUAUUAGGAGGAACACCAGUGGCGAAG
rnacentral:rRNA from 1 species